GACGAACGCUGGCGGCGUGCUUAACACAUGCAAGUCGAGCGGUAAGGCCCUUUCGGGGGUACACGAGCGGCGAACGGGUGAGUAACACGUGGGUGACCUGCCCUCAGCUCUGGGAUAAGCCUGGGAAACCGGGUCUAAUACCGGAUAUGACUCCAUGACGCAUGUUGUGGGGUGGAAAGCCUUGUGCGGCUGAGGAUGGGCCCGCGGCCUAUCAGCUUGUUGGUGGGGUGAUGGCCUACCAAGGCGACGACGGGUAGCCGGCCUGAGAGGGCGACCGGCCACACUGGGACUGAGACACGGCCCAGACUCCUACGGGAGGCAGCAGGUGGGGAAUCUUGCGCAAUGGGACGAAAGCCUGACGCAGCGACGCCGCGUGAGGG
rnacentral:rRNA from 1 species